rnacentral:lncRNA from 1 species
CAUCUUAGAAGAGCUUAAAGUUUUCUUUAUAUUGUUCCUAUUAAUAUCUUGUUAACUCCAUUUUAAGUGUUCAAAUUUGUUGCUAGUAUAAAUAGGAUAUUUCCUCCCAGCAUAAUUUUCUUGAAUGUUAUCAUUUUUAAAUUUGGAAACUCCUGAUUUUGAAUAAUAAUUUUGUAGCCAGUUAAUAAAUUCUUGUGUUUUAGGUAUACAGUUAUAUCAUCAAUCAAAUGAUAAUUUUAGUCUUCUUUUUCUUUCUUUUAUUUAAUUGCAUUGGCUAGUAGCAGUAACAAAUUCUACGUUUUUUAAAUACUAUUAAAUUGGCCUAUAAAGUGCCUUGAAUGGCUGUGAACUUUGACUGUGGUCUGUAUAAAUUUUUGUGGAAUAGAGAUAGCUUGUAUUAGGUAUCAUAUAAUUAAAGAUAGAAGUGUUGAUAACAGAAGUGGUAGUCAGCCUAAGCACUUUUAAAUUUACUGAGUAAUUAGAACUCAGUUUAUGGCCAAAAUCUUCAAAGUUUGCAGAAACACCCCAUCUUUUAAAUAUUCUUUAGUUUAAGAUUGUUGUGGAUUCUUAAUCUG